UGGGGAAUAUUGGACAAUGGGGGCAACCCUGAUCCAGCAAUGCCGCGUGUGUGAAGAAGGCCUGCGGGUUGUAAAGCACUUUUAGUUGGGAGGAAAAGCGUACGGCGAAUAACCGUGCGUCUUGACGUAACCGACAGAAAAAGCACCGGCUAACUCCGUGCCAGCAGCCGCGGUAAUACGGAGGGUGCGAGCGUUAAUCGGAAUUACUGGGCGUAAAGCGUGCGUAGGCGGAUGCUUAAGUCGAAUGUGAAAGCCCCGGGCUUAACCUGGGAAUUGCAUUCGAUACUGGGCGUCUAGAGUGUGGUAGAGGAUAGUGGAAUUCCAGGUGUAGCGGUGAAAUGCGUAGAUAUCUGGAGGAACAUCAGUGGCGAAGGCGGCUAUCUGGACCAACACUGACGCU
rnacentral:rRNA from 1 species